UACGUAGGGGGCAAGCGUUGUCCGGAAUCAUUGGGCGUAAAGCGCGUGUAGGCGGCCUGGUAAGUCCGUUCUGAAAGCCUGGGGCUCAACCCCAGGAGGCGGAUGGAUACUGCUGGGCUCGAGUACGGAAGAGGCGAGUGGAAUUCCCGGUGUAGCGGUGAAAUGCGCAGAUAUCGGGAGGAACACCAAUGGCGAAGGCGGCUUCCUGGACCGACACUGACGCUGAGGCGCGAAAGCUAGGGGAGCAAACGGG
rnacentral:rRNA from 1 species